CCGCACAGCCGGGGAGUUAGCGGUGCCCUGAACCUGCAAUCCGCUAUAGCAGGGGUGAUGUUUUGCCGAGGGUGUCUGCAUUGCAGGGCUGCCCCUGGUAAGCGGCGUUGACGUCUUGGUCUUACGCAAUGAAAAUCUCUGAACCGUGUCAGGGCAGGAAUGCAGCAGCACUAAGGGGAACCUUUCAUGUGCCGUGAGGAAGCCGGGGCUGAGCAGGCUGCCAGGGUAACGUCUGUGGUGCGCAUUCGACACAGAACGUGCGG
rnacentral:SRP_RNA from 1 species